UGGACACAGUGGACACACAGAUGCACAGGGACCCAGGACAGGGCAUCUGGGCAUGGAUCUCUGCAUGUUUAGCUCUCUGUUCCAGGGGCUGUCUCAGAGGUUGAGAAGGGUGGUGACUCUCAGACCCUACACUCCUGGAUCUGUGGUUUGAAGAAGAAUCCCUCCGGCUCAGUAUGGACAUACUUUAUGACCGCCCAGACAGCAAAGAUAAGGAAACCCAGAGCCAGGAAGGCACCACAGCUCCCAGGAUUCUCUCCACUAUCCCAUUCUCCCUCAGCUGAACAUGGAAGCCUCAGAAGGAGAGAGCUUCCUCAUCCCUCUGCAACCAGAAUUGGACGUUCCUUCCUUUUUGACCAGCAGGAGGACACCUGUAGGCCCUUCACCACUCCUGUUUUUACCUUCCACCAUCAUCAAGGUUUUACUCUCAUAAAUCUGGAACAGAGUAAUAAUGCUCAGAUCCCUUCUCAUGCCUGCCUGUACCUGAGCCACCAUCUCCACAGAAGUUACCUCUGCCUAUUUGUCAACAUCCACGUUCAUCAAAGAAAUAGUACACAAUUCCUUUCCCUCA